rnacentral:tRNA from 1 species
CACUAGAUGGCUGAAAGCAAGUACUGGUCU